AGUGAACGCUGGCGGCAGGCCUAACACAUGCAAGUCGAGCGGCAGCGGGGUUCCCGCGAGGGGAUGCCGGCGAGCGGCGGACGGGUGAGGAACACAUCGGAAUCUGCCUGGUUGUGGGGGAUAACGUAGGGAACUUACGCUAAUACCGCAUGCGACCCUGAGUCGACGGACUGGGGGUGGAAAGUGAGGGACCUUCGGGCCGUCACGCGACCAGAUGAGCCGAUGUCGGAUUAGCUAGUU
rnacentral:rRNA from 1 species